rnacentral:rRNA from 1 species
GACGAACGCUGGCGGCGUGCCUAAUACAUGCAAGUCGAACGCAGUGGGGACGGGUGAGUAACACGUGGGUAACCUCCCAUCAGAGGGGAUAACACUUGGAAACAGGUGCUAAACCGAUACUGAUGGAUGAACCCGCGGUGCAUUAGCUAGUUGGUGAGGUAACGGCUCACCAAGGCCACGAUGCAUAGGCGACCUGAGAGGGGGAUCGGCAACACUGGGGAUGAGACACGGCCCAAGCUCCUACGGGAGGCAGGAGGAGGGAAUCUUUGGCAAUGGACGGAAGGCUUGCCGAGCAACGCCGCGUGAGUGAAGAAGGGUUUCGGAUCGUAAAACUCUGUUGUUAGAGAAGCGGUAUCUAACCAGAAAGCCACGGCUAACUACGUGCCAGCAGCCGCGGUAAUUC